UUUUGCUUAUUGACAAAUCCACUUAAAU
rnacentral:piRNA from 1 species